AUGCAACGCGAAGAACCUUACCUACUCUUGACAUCCAGAGAACUUAGCAGAGAUGCUUUGGUGCCUUCGGGAACUCUGAGACAGGUGCUGCAUGGCUGUCGUCAGCUCGUGUUGUGAAAUGUUGGGUUAAGUCCCGCAACGAGCGCAACCCUUAUCCUUUGUUGCCAGCGGUUAGGCCGGGAACUCAAAGGAGACUGCCAGUGAUAAACUGGAGGAAGGUGGGGAUGACGUCAAGUCAUCAUGGCCCUUACGAGUAGGGCUACACACGUGCUACAAUGGCGCAUACAAAGAGAAGCGACCUCGCGAGAGCAAGCGGACCUCAUAAAGUGCGUCGUAGUCCGGAUUGGAGUCUGCAACUCGACUCCAUGAAGUCGGAAUCGCUAGUAAUCGUGGAUCAGAAUGCCACGGUGAAUACGUUCCCGGGCCUUGUACACACCGCCCGUCACACCAUGGGAGUGGGUUGCAAAAGAAGUAGGUAGCUUAACCUUCGGGAGGGCGC
rnacentral:rRNA from 1 species